ACGUGGGUGAUCUGCCCUGCACUUUGGGAUAAGCCUGGGAAACUGGGUCUAAUACCGGAUAGGACUACGCGAUGCAUGUCGUGUGGUGGAAAGCUUUUGCGGUGUGGGAUGGGCCCGCGGCCUAUCAGCUUGUUGGUGGGGUGAUGGCCUACCAAGGCGACGACGGGUAGCCGGCCUGAGAGGGUGUCCGGCCACACUGGGACUGAGAUACGGCCCAGACUCCUACGGGAGGCAGCAGUGGGGAAUAUUGCACAAUGGGCGCAAGCCUGAUGCAGCGACGCCGCGUGAGGGAUGACGGCCUUCGGGUUGUAAACCUCUUUCACUAGGGACGAAGCGCAAGUGACGGUACCUACAGAAGAAGCACCGGCCAACUACGUGCCAGCAGCCGCGGUAAUACGUAGGGUGCGAGCGUUGUCCGGAAUUACUGGGCGUAAAGAGCUCGUAGGUGGUUUGUC
rnacentral:rRNA from 1 species